GGCAGAGCCGCCUGAACAGACCUAAAGUUCCAGGUGCCUAAGCUGAUGGGCUCAGCCUCCCCAAAAUCGGGGCCUGAAAUGGGAUGAGUCAGGAAGAACUUGAAGGAUUUAACGGGAUAAAAUCAGGAAAGGGAUUAUUCUGGAAGCAUGCAAAUGAACAAGAUAUCACUUUUCAAGAUAGAACAGAAUGGGCGUCCAGGAAAAGUGACCCACAUAUGACCUCCUGAAUGCUGAUCAGGCUCUGGCCUCUCUCUGUGGUCAGCCCA
rnacentral:lncRNA from 10 species